UGGGGAAUUUUGCGCAAUGGGGGAAACCCUGACGCAGCAACGCCGCGUGGAGGACGAAGGUUUUCGGAUUGUAAACUCCUGUCCUCUGGGACGAUAAUGACGGUACCAGAGGAGGAAGCCACGGCUAACUACGUGCCAGCAGCCGCGGUAAUACGUAGGUGGCAAGCGUUGUCCGGAAUUACUGGGCGUAAAGGGCGCGUAGGCGGUACCCUAAGUUAGAUGUGAAACCCCGGAGCUUAACUUCGGAACUGCAUUUAAAACUGGGGAACUCGAGUGUCGGAGAGGAAAGUGGAAUUCCUAGUGUAGCGGUGAAAUGCGUAGAUAUUAGGAGGAACACCAGUGGCGAAGGCGACUUUCUGGACGAUAACUGACGCUGAGGCGCGAAAGCGUGGGGAGCAAACAGGAUUAGAUACCCUGGUAGUCCACGCUGUAAACGAUGGAUACUAGGUGUGGGAGGUAUCGAACCCUUCCGUGCCGCAGCUAACGCAAUAAGUAUCCCGCCUGGGGAGUACGGCCGCAAGGUUG
rnacentral:rRNA from 1 species